rnacentral:rRNA from 1 species
GAUGAACGCUGGCGGCGUGCCUAAUACAUGCAAGUCGAGCGAACGGACGAGAAGCUUGCUUCUCUGAUGUUAGCGGCGGACGGGUGAGUAACACGUGGAUAACCUACCUAUAAGACUGGGAUAACUUCGGGAAACCGGAGCUAAUACCGGAUAAUAUUUUGAACCGCAUGGUUCAAAAGUGAAAGACGGUCUUGCUGUCACUUAUAGAUGGAUCCGCGCUGCAUUAGCUAGUUGGUAAGGUAACGGCUUACCAAGGCAACGAUGCAUAGCCGACCUGAGAGGGUGAUCGGCCACACUGGAACUGAGACACGGUCCAGACUCCGACGGGAGGCAGCAGUAGGGAAUCUUCCGCAAGGGGCGAAAGCCUGACGGAGCAACGCCGCGUGAGUGAUGAAGGGCUUCGGAUCGUAAAACUCUGUUAUUAGGGAAGAACAUAUGUGUAAGUAACUGUGCACAUCUUGACGGUACCUAAUCAGAAAGCCACGGCUAACUACGU